rnacentral:lncRNA from 1 species
UGGUGUAGAGACAUUGGAAUGAAGGUACAGAUGGUUGUUAGAGAAUAACUUACACUGAGCGUGACCAACAUGAGAACUUCAUGGAUGUUUACUCACUUGUUAGUGGUCUUCUCGAUGCUGCAGUGAUGUGAGUGGUCCUUUGAUCUAUGAUGUCAUUGGCUAUUCACAGCGAGGCUACUAAGUUUGACUGUACAUUCUCUGAGUCCCUAGUCAUUCGGAUCCUUACUGUGUAUGUUGGCUUUAGUAAGUUCAGAUUCGCUGUUUGGAGUAAGAUGCACCUAAAUGGGAUCUAUCAAUCUUGAUAGAAAAGGAGAAGUCCUAUGUGAUUUGAUAGAUUGAGU